UGCAGAUUAUUUUCACCUGUUCCUAUCAGGAUUCAUAUUAAUGUAGAGCAGACACAAGGUCUGACAUAGAUAGGUUAAGGCACUGAUGCAGUAAUCAGAGACAACAAGAAGAAGUUAUGUUGGGGACAAUGUCCUUGUUUUUCUUGCAACUGAGUGUGUUAGUAGUUUUGUUCAGGAGCAGAGUACUAGAAGGCUCUCUGGUGUGUAUCAGCCCUCUUAAAGCCUCUGGCUCUUUGCAGCUUUUGGGAUUUUAGUGGAUUUCUCUCACAGCUUACAGAAACCUUUUUGUAGCUGCUUGACUGGUGCAGGUCUGCUCACCAAAACAUUCGCAGCUAACUGAAAUACCAAAAGACAAGCUGAAAAGACAUAUGAAAAAAGUGUGAAUGUAUGUCACUUGUCUCCACUCAAGUAGUGUUGAGCCAAGGACAGUAAACUUUAACAAGAGUAAGUUGGAGGGCUAUAUUUUUUUUCUGAGGAUAUCUUACCCAUUACUUUUGGGAUUUUGGCGUCUCUGGUCUAAGGAUUUAGUGAGCAUGGAAAACUCUGGGCUCUUUUUUCCAUCAAUUACAACCUCCCAGUGGACAUUGCCAGGCUCCCAAAUAGUGUCCCCUGCUGCCGAAAGGCUGCGCCACAUAUUGGGAGAAGAUGAUAGCACUCCAACACCAACAAUAUUCACUGAGAUGGAUACAUUACAGCAGGAGGGUGGUGAAUUAGAGUGGAAAGAGUCUGCAAGAUGGGUGAAGUUUGAGGAGAAGGUGGAGGAGGGAGGAGAAAGAUGGAGCAAGCCUCAUGUUUCCACACUCACCCUCCAUAGUCUGUUUGAGCUGAGAACCUGCCUGCAGACAGGAAGUAUUCUGCUCGACCUAGAGGGCUACUCACUGCCACAGAUCGUGGAGGAGAUUGUGGAACAGCAGAUAGCUGAUGGUCUCAUUCCUCCUGAUCUUAAGGAGAAGAUUAUCUUUGUGUUGCUCAGGAAGCAUCGUCAUCAGACCAAGAAGCCAAUCCACCGCUCUCUGGCCGACAUGGGAAAGUCAUCCAAUGCUGCGUCUAGCCGUAGUCCUCAGGUUAAUCUGAGUCGUAGCACUAGUUCAGCUUCUGGGAUCCACCGCUCCACAGAAGACCUACGUUCUCGGCAGUCAAGCAGCCUUGGCCGCCUGCAUAAUGCCCAGAGUAGAAGCAUGAAUGAUAUUUCAGACACACCAAGCACUGAUCAGCUUAAGAAUAAGUUCAUGAAGAAGAUACCUCGUGAUGCAGAAGCAUCCAAUGUCCUGAUUGGUGAAGUUGAUUUUCUGGAUAAACCCUUUGUCUCCUUUGUACGCUUGGCUCAAGCUACAACUCUGGGGGGGCUUACUGAGGUUCCUGUACCAACCAGAUUUCUCUUCAUUCUUCUGGGUCCUCAUGGCAAAACCAAAUCCUACAACGAGAUUGGCAGAGCUAUUGCUACACUCAUGGUGGAUGAUUUGUUUAGUGAUGUUGCCUAUAAGGCAAGGGACCGUGAAGACUUGAUUGCAGGUGUUGAUGAGUUUCUGGAUGAAGUGAUUGUCCUUCCUCCAGGAGAAUGGGACCCCAAGAUCCGUAUUGAACCCCCUAAAAAGGUUCCAUCCGCAGAAACGAGAAAGUCAGUGCUGAACUUGAAUGAGCUGGGUCAGGUGAAUGGUUUAGCUGGCGGAGCAGCUGGAGGUGAAGAUGAGGAGCUUCCAGCCCCACAUGAGUUGGGAGAGGAGCUGAAAUUCACUGGGAGGAUUGGUGGUGGAUUAUGGCUGGAUAUCAAACGGAAGAUCCCAUGGUAUUGCAGUGAUAUUUAUGAUGGUUUCCAUAUCCAGUCCAUCUCUGCUGUGCUAUUCAUCUACCUAGGCUGCAUCACCAAUGCUAUCACCUUUGGAGGACUACUAGGGGAUGCUACUGACAAUUACCAGGGAGUGAUGGAGAGUUUUCUUGGCACUGCUUUAGCAGGAAGUGUCUUUUGCUUGUUUGGAGGACAGCCUCUCAUCAUUUUGAGUUCAACUGGGCCCAUUCUCAUCUUUGAAAAACUGCUUUAUGAGUUCAGCAAAAACAAUGAUGUGGACUAUAUGGAGCUUCGUCUGUGGAUUGGCCUUCACUCGUGUCUGCAGUGUUUUUUACUGGUUUUUUCAGAUGCUAGCUACAUCAUCAAAUAUAUGACCCGGUUCACGGAGGAGGGUUUCUCCAGCCUCAUUUCUUUUAUAUUCAUUUCUGAUGCAAUCAAGAAGAUGGUCGGAGCCUUUAAAUAUUACCCAAUCAACCGUGGCUUCAAACCUGAUUACAUUACAGCUUAUAAGUGUGAAUGCAUCGCUCCAGACCAGGCACCUGCACUGGGCUUGAAUGCUUCAGCUCCACUUGCAGAUGAUAAUAUGACUCUGCUGUUUAACUUAACAGAUCUGGACUGGAGUCAGCUGAGUAAGAAAGAAUGUGUGAAGUAUGGUGGUAUGCUGGUGGGGAACUCCUGUAAGUAUGUUCCUGACCUGGCCCUCAUGUCCUUCAUCCUCUUCUUUGGCACCUACUCCAUGACAGUUUCUCUUAAGAAGUUCAAGUUUAGCCGCUACUUCCCAACAAAGCUGAGGAAGCUAAUCAGUGACUUUGCCAUCUUCAUGUCAAUCAUGUCCUUUGUGGGUCUCGAUAUGCUGAUGGGGUUAGACACACCCAAACUUAUCGUGCCAACAGAGUUCAAGCCUACACGUAGUGACCGGGGCUGGCUGGUGAUGCCCUUUGGUAAGAACCCCUGGUGGUGGUAUCUGGCCAGUUUCGUUCCUGCUCUUCUGGUCACCAUCCUCAUCUUCAUGGACCAGCAGAUUAGUGCUGUCAUUGUCAACCGCAAGGAAAACAAAUUAAAGAAAGGCUGUGGCUACCACUUGGACCUGUUCUGGGUAGGUGUACUGAUGGCCGUGUGUUCUUUCGUGGGCAUGCCAUGGUAUGUAGCAGCCACUGUUAUCUCCAUUGCUCAUAUCGACUCACUGAAGAUGGAGAGUGAAUCUAGCGCCCCUGGAGAGCAACCACAGUUCCUUGGAGUCAGAGAGCAGAGGUUGACAGGCACUUUGGUGUUUGUUCUAACAGGACUCUCAGUCUUUCUUGCACCUAUACUUCAGUACAUCCCCAUGCCUGUCCUUUAUGGUGUCUUCCUCUACAUGGGAGUGGCUUCACUUAGUGGCAUCCAGUUCUGGGAGCGCAUCAAGCUGUAUCUAAUGCCACCAAAACACCAGCCAGACUUCUCCUUCCUGCGUCAUGUCCCUAUGAGACGCGUCCACCUUUUCACCCUAGUCCAGAUUGUGUGUCUGGCUGUUCUCUGGAUCCUUAAGUCUACGUUUCUGGCCAUCAUCUUCCCAGUAAUGAUUCUCGGUCUCAUGGUUGUACGGAAGCUGCUGGAUUUGAUGUUCUCACAACAUGACUUGGCCUGGCUGGAUGAUAUCCUGCCAGACAAAGACAAGAAGAAGAAGGAAGAUGAGAAGAAGAAGAAGAAAGACAAGAAAGCACCAGAGCCUGAGAGUGAUGAGGAGCCUGACAGCUCUGCAAACCCUCCAGUGAAGAUUCACAUGGAGACCACAAAGCCCUACUCAAAGUCAGACCUUUCCCAAAAUAACUCUCCCACCCAAAGCCUAUCCUCAGAUUGAGAUGAACCCCUACUCGACAGUCACAUCUGAUCAAAAUGAGCUAGACCACAGCAUCACUCUGCACCUGAAGAUCUCCUGUCCCCCCUCACGUGCCGACUCUGAACUCAGCCUCAGCCCUCCUCUGCAACACCCACAACACCAGCCUGUGCCCAGGGUCAGCAUCCGUGUGGAGUCCGAUUGCGAGGAGUCUGGCUUCCACUACAGACAGCAGCAGCACAACGUCUACCUGUCUGAUGACCGGCCACUGCCUAAAAUAGAGAAAGAAUCUUGCAGGAAAAUGCAAGAUCACUUUCACAACUCCUGUGCUGAAACCAUUUUGUAAAAACAAAGAAUGUUGAAAGGUGCAAAGUGUUGCUUACUGAUCACAGAUCAUGUCUAACAUCGUUUAAGUGAUUUUUUUUAAUUAUCAGCUCUCAGGUCUGCUUUGGAAACCAGCUUCUUGUAGUUCCAAUGAUAAAAACCAAAGCAUAUUAAUGAAUGCACAAUCCCUCUCUGAAGCAAUUAGGUCACUGAUGAAUAGGUCAGUUUAAUAGGUCAGUGUAUUUGAUGAGUGGUCAAGCAUGAUCUACAUGUUUAUGCACAUUUCUGAUGUAAAACCCUGAUAUAAAAAAUAAAAAAAGAAACAUCCAUUUAAAA